GAUCUAAGGCUAAAUAUCUCCACAGAACCGAUAGCGAACAAGUACCGUGAGGGAAAGUUGAAAAGCACUCUGGAGAGAGAGUCAAAAGACCGUGAAACCGCUCAGAGUAUAAGCCCAUGGCAGCUUGGAAGGCAUAUCGCUAGCGGGGCAUCGGUCUCCCUUCACGGGGAGCUGGUGUUACCUUGCUUCUGUUGUGGCUCGUCACGGUAGGGGGGUCAAGUCCACAUCCCGCCGACGUGUGGGGAGUUCUCGGGCGUGUUGGGUUGUUCGGUCGACCUCGGUUGGCCGCUUCGGCCCUUCGCGCUUGGUUCUCUUUCAACACGGACGUUCAGACUCAGAGGCAAGACGCGAUAAACAGCCCACCACGGCACGUUGUGAGGUCACCCACAGGCUCAACUUUUGAUUGUGAUCCUUGACGCCGAGCAAGCACAAUGCGUGUCGCAGAUGUUCCUAACCCGGCGCAACACAACGCCAGGAUCGUGGAACGACACGCGCUCAACAGUCAGGAUCGGGCGAUGGCAGAGUUCUGGUAUGAUCCUCUUGCGACGAGCCGGCUUCUGGCCAAAUUCCGAUGCUCAGGUCUCCCGCAUGUGCCGCGGGAGAUCGCCUCGACGGCCUGGACGAGAGAGUCCUCUCAGUCGGGCAACGGAAAGAGUGGUGUAAAGUCCAAGCCCAUCGGUCACGUCUCGAAACACGGGCCAA
rnacentral:rRNA from 1 species